ensembl:lncRNA
CUCUUGGUCUGGACCUCAGUGGGUUUCAAGCGCCCCUGUCAAACUGCAGCCAACAUAUUACUUUACCCAUGCUGGGAACACGCUGGUGAGAGAGCUGUCAGUAUUAAAUACACAGAUUUUCAUGAUGGAGCAGCCGAUUUUCAUCUGUUUCACUCCUGUAGGGAGGAUGGUGUGGGAGGAACUGACUUCUCAAACUGAACAGCCAAAUAGUGAAGACUCUGGUUUUCCCUUUGAGAAGAUGCAGCUGGUUGGGAACUGGGGUUCGUUUCAUUUCCAUACCUGGAUAAUCCGUUAUGGACGAGUGCAGCAAAACGAAGAGGACAUGCAUCACCUGUGCAUUGUGAGGGGAGUGGAGAAACAGCUGUGGUGGAGCAGAGUCAUUCAGGAAAAAAUCCUGGACCCAUGGGGUAAUGUCCAGGUGGUCCUCGCCAACAAGGAGGUGACUGGUAUUAAGUUCCUUGGUAGAAGGAUCCAUGGACUCAGGUCUUGCCUCGUCAAGAGGAGGUCAGAGUUCACCUAUUAUGAGGACGCCCAGCAGGUGGAUAUCUCCACCACAGUGGAGGGGUUCCAGGAGAGGGGGGAUGACAUGAUGACCUAUCAGUUCUCUACCUCUGACAUUAUCACCACCCCUCAUGAGCCGUCCUCUGGCUCCUCUCAGCAGUUCCCCCAGGAUUCUCCACCUCCCCCUCCGCCUCCCCCGUUCCCUUCCCCUCCACCUUACCACUUCACCCAGGACCAGACCCCUGACAGCACUCCUCAGGUAAAACUCUUUCUACAGUCAAUAACCCUUUUUAUUUGUUUUCC